rnacentral:rRNA from 1 species
CAAUACUCCCGCCGGCGACCGGCGCACGGGUGAGUAACACGUAUGAAACCUGCCCGUAGCAGGGGGAUAAGCGGAAGAAAUUCCGUCUAAUACCGCGUAACAACCCGAGGAGGCAUCUCCUCGGGUUUAAAGGAAGCGAUUCCGGCUACGGAUGGUCAUGCGUCGCAUUAGCUAGUUGGCGGGGUAACGGCCCACCAAGGCGACGAUGCGUAGGGGUUCUGGGAGGAAGGUCCCCCACACUGGUACUGAGACACGGACCAGACUCCUACGGAAGGCAGCAG